GUGAUCCACCAGUGCAGCACAUCCACUAAAAACGAAACUGUUCAGAGAAGAUUAGCAUGGCCCCCGUUGACCAAUGGCAUGCAAAUUCAGGAAGUGGUCCUUGGUUUU